AUUGAACGCUGGCGGCAUGCCUUACACAUGCAAGUCGAACGGCAGCGGACCUUCGGGUGCCGGCGAGUGGCGAACGGGUGAGUAAUAUAUCGGAACGUACCUUUCAGUGGGGGAUAACGUAGCGAAAGUUACGCUAAUACCGCAUAUUCUGUGAGCAGGAAAGCAGGGGAUCGCAAGACCUUGCGCUGAUUGAGCGGCCGAUAUCAGAUUAGCUAGUUGGUGAGGUAAAGGCUCACCAAGGCGACGAUCUGUAGCGGGUCUGAGAGGAUGAUCCGCCACACUGGAACUGAGACACGGUCCAGACUCCUACGGGAGGCAGCAGUGGGGAAUUUUGGACAAUGGGCGCAAGCCUGAUCCCAGCCAUGCCGCG
rnacentral:rRNA from 1 species